rnacentral:lncRNA from 1 species
CGUUGCUUUUAUUUAAUCACUUCCCCAGCCCUUCCAUCGCCUUUUUUGAGGAUAAGAAACCCAAAGUUCCCAGAGAUUAACUUGCCCAAGAUCACUUGGCCUGGAUUUGAGCCUGAGGCUCAGACUCCAAAACCCACACUCAAUUUGCUACAUCUCCCAGGGGUGGGGCCAAGGCAGCUGUGAGCAAAAGGAGAAGUAUCAGCUUCUCAAGGGCCUAGGGUUUGUUGGAAGGGCAAGGCAAGGGCAAAGGGGGAUACAGAACAAGGGGGCAAGUACCAGUGCCUGGGAUGGACCCAUCCAUUCAGGCAGGGGGUGUGGGGUGUCCCCUGUGCUUAGAAACCACCUAGCAUCAUAGCUGCAACAGCACUUUAUUGGGAUCUGAGUCUACAGUUCACAUAGGGAGGUGAAGCCGUGGGAGAAGCAGGGGUAAAAAAAAAAAGGGGGGGGACUUCACCCCCUAGGGACAGCUGCUUCCAAACCUAACAAAACCCCAGGGUAAGUCCUCGUGCUGGGCCUCGAGCCAGCAACUCUAGUCAAAUCCCAAGGCACCGGUCAGCAUGUGGGUCAAGGGGCCCACUAUGGGGACAUACACUCAAGAGGAUGAAAGCUCUUUAGCUUCAGAAUCAGAUUGCCUUCCCCAGACCCCACCCCAAAACAGGCUCCUCUCCCAUCUCCCCCUUCACAGUGACAAAACACAAGCCCACAUCCCAGGGCCUGGAGUAUUUGCAUGCAUUUGCAUAGACGGCAACGCAGGUCCAGCUAAGGCCUUUUUCUACAUAAAGUGACAUCAGUGCAGGGCUGGUGAUUUUGCUCUACUGUGUGAAAGAUAUCUGAGGACACCAAACAAGCCAGGACAGAGUCCACCCUCCAGGAGUUAGAUAACGCUGGGAUCUUGGGCUGGGCCAGGCCAAGGCCAUUCCCUGUGGGGCAGGGUGUCAGCCCCGGUGGUGGUGGUGGUGGCUAUGGCUGUGCCCCUCCCUGGGCCCCGCAGCUCUUGGGCUCUCUGCCCACCUCUUCUUCAGUGCUUUGUCUCCAAAGAAGUGGCUGAAGAUGAAGUCCUCAAAGUCAUCUACUUCAUCAUCAUCACCUGUCUGUUGCACAGCCACCUCCUCCAAGCUGUCCUCCAGGGCAUCCACAAAAUCCCGGAAGCGGAGGCGGUCAUGACGGAAGAUGCCAUCCUCACCAAAGAAAGCAGGUGAGAGGGGUAGCUCCUUGGUCAGCUGCCCAGCCCAGGGCAGCCGUGCCAAGUAUGUUCUUAGCAGAGAGGCCAGCUCCUGUUGCCGCACUGGGGCUAGCUCUGUGCCAAAGAAAGUCAGGCCCUCCUGCCGGGCACACUCGUCCACACCUGAGCAGCCCUGGGGUGCCCGGUACUUGGGCCUCAACAGCUCUGCCCAGGAUGGCAGGGGGUCAUGGCUGUCCUUAGUCCCUUCCCUCCACCGAGGUUGCUUCUGCUUUUCUCCAGAGGAGUGGAAGCUACCACUUUUCCUUGGGGGUUCCUUCGGGCCCUGUCGCUUGCCCUCCUUCUUGCUCCCCGACUCCUCCACCCUUGGCCUGCCCUCCUUCCACCUUCCUGCUGGCUCCCUGUCCUCCUGACCUCCCCAGUUCUUCUUCCUUUCCCGGCCAGAUUCUUCCUUCUUAUGUUUCCAGUGCUCAGCCUUCCGGUCUCUCUGCCCAUCCCACCACUUUUCCUUUCCACUCCACUCCCUAGAAUUCUGGAAGUGGGACUUCUGGUGCCAGGCCUUUGAGGCAUUGGCAGAGACCCCAGGGUCCUGGCCCCAGUUCUCCAGGCCCUGCAGUUUCUGGGCCAAUCUGUGGCCCAGCUCAGCCAAGCCAGCAUGAGCUGGGUCCCCGCGGCUGGCAUCCUGCAAGCUCCUCUCCAGAUCCUGCUGUACAGACCCCAGCAGCCGUCGCUGCCUCUCUAACUCUUGCCUUAAUGCCUGUGCCUCAGCCUCCAGCUGUUCCUUCUGCUUCAGGAAGCUGAGUUCUGGCUCCUGCUCCCUGGGGCCUUGCUCCCUGAUGGCCUUGUCACCCUGUGGGCCUCUACCCCCACUGAGGCACACCCCAUCUGGGCCCCGGACACAGUCGGCCUCCAGCCCCUGGAGCCGGGCCCGCAGCUGCUGCAGCUCUGACUCCAGAGCCCGCUGGAAGGCUUCGCCCUGCUGCAGAGCCCCCCGGAGCUGGGC